rnacentral:rRNA from 1 species
CCUACGGGUGGCAGCAGUGGGGAAUAUUGCACAAUGGGGGAAACCCUGAUGCAGCGACGCCGCGUGAGUGAAGAAGUAUUUCGGUAUGUAAAGCUCUAUCAGCAGGGAAGAUAAUGACGGUACCUGAGUAAGAAGCCCCGGCUAACUACGUGCCAGCAGCCGCGGUAAUACGUAGGGGGCAAGCGUUAUCCGGAUUUAAUGGGUGUAAAGGGAGCGUAGACGGCAUGGCAAGUCUGAAGUGAAAGCCCGUGGCUCAACCGCGGGACUGCUUUGGAAACUGUUAAGCUGGAGUGCAGGAGAGGUAGGUGGAAUUCCUAGUGUAGCGGUGAAAUGCGUAGAUAUUAGGAGGAACACCAGUGGCGAAGGCGGCUUGCUGGACUGUAACUGACGUUGAGGCUCGAAAGCGUGGGGAGCAAACAGGAUUAGAUACCCGAGUAGUC